UGAUUCUUUUCUUCUAAAGAAGACGAAGAUGAAGAAGAUUACUACUAUCAAGAAUGCUGAUAAAGAUACUCCUAGUAACAAUGAAAAAAAGAAGAAGAAGGUCUGGGAGAAGAAAUGGGAAACUGUGGAACUUUAUUGUUCACAGAGAAAUAUUGAUGUUGAUGUGAGAUGAAUGAGAAGUUCAAGAGGACAGAGAUCUAAGAAUAUCUUUAUUUUAUUUUAUUUCCUCCCUCUGUAACAAUGUUGACUUUAUGAUUUUCUUCCAUCUUUGGCUUCUACGUAUAUGGAAAUAUCAUAUUUUUUUC